CCUACGGGAGGCAGCAGUGGGGAAUAUUGGACAAUGGGCGCAAGCCUGAUCCAGCCAUGCCGCGUGAGUGAUGAAGGCCCUAGGGUUGUAAAGCUCUUUCGCCAGGGACGAUAAUGACGGUACCUGGAUAAGAAGCCCCGGCUAACUUCGUGCCAGCAGCCGCGGUAAUACGAAGGGGGCUAGCGUUGUUCGGAAUCACUGGGCGUAAAGCGCACGUAGGCGGAUCUUUAAGUCAGGGGUGAAAUCCCGGGGCUCAACCUCGGAACUGCCUUUGAUACUGGAGGUCUCGAGUCCGGGAGAGGUGAGUGGAACUGCGAGUGUAGAGGUGAAAUUCGUAGAUAUUCGCAAGAACACCAGUGGCGAAGGCGGCUCACUGGCCCGGUACUGACGCUGAGGUGCGAAAGCGUGGGGAGCAAACAGGAUUAGAUACCCGAGUAGUC
rnacentral:rRNA from 1 species